UACGGAAGGCAGCAGUGGGGAAUAUUGCACAAUGGGCGCAAGCCUGAUGCAGCCAUGCCGCGUGUAUGAAGAAGGCCUUCGGGUUGUAAAGUACUUUCAGUCGUGAGGAAGGUGUUAAGGUUAAUAACCUUAGCAAUUGACGUUAGCGACAGAAGAAGCACCGGCUAACUCCGUGCCAGCAGCCGCGGUAAUACGGAGGGUGCGAGCGUUAAUCGGAAUUACUGGGCGUAAAGGGCACGCAGGCGGUUAAUUAAGUUGGAUGUGAAAUCCCCGGGCUUAACCUGGGAAUGGCAUUCAAGACUGGUUAGCUAGAGUCUUGUAGAGAGGGGUAGAAUUCCAUGUGUAGCGGUGAAAUGCGUAGAGAUGUGGAGGAAUACCGGUGGCGAAGGCGGCCCCUGGACAAAGACUGACGCUCAUGUGCGAAAGCGUGGGGAGCAAACGAGGAUUAGACUACC
rnacentral:rRNA from 1 species